CUUGCUAAUUCACCAGAAAACAACGCUAUGAGAAUGUAUCAGACGUCUCAGAAGCCAGGUCACGGCUGUGCUAAUCAAUGUCACUGCCAGAUGAGAUUGUUUUUCAUUGGCCUGCUCAUGACACUGUGGUGACUAGGAUCUCGCCGCUAAGACAGUUGUAGGCGCCCUGUGUGCCGCAUGCGAGGACCUUAUGUACAGUGGUCUCAUCUUUUUAUUGUGUGCGUGUCACAGGCCAAGACACCAUACUGUGGGAGGACACGCACUGGUUCCACACUCCAUCAAGUACAUCGUGUCGAUACGAAUGACACAUCGUCGACACUUCUGAAGGGGCUCCAUAAUAAAUAAGUACUGGGUAAUGACAGCAGCACAUUGUGAUAUUGGGUUAGCAGCUUUUUAUUCUUUUGAAUUUUAUUAUUUAUUUGAGGAUAACUGGUCCAGAAAAUGGAUGGAUGGAUUUGAAUUCUCACUGAAAUGUCAAAAGACCACUGAAACUUGUGCCUAGAUUCUUGUCAGGGUGUUUCCAAAAAGAGCUUACUCUGUGAGAACAAUGACAACAAACACAAACUGGGUCAUCAUUUGUGUUGAAAAGGCUUGAAAAGGCCUUGUAAUAUUUUACCUCCCAAUCAAGUAACCAUUCAUGGCAAGUGGAUCUUUUUCUUACAGUGGACUCCUAAGCAUUGUGUUGGAAUUCAAAAAAUACUUUGACUUCACUCAACAAGAGUACAAUCAACCACUUGAAUGUACAACUGAAUUUGCGUAGACGGUAAACUCAAAAGAGGAACUGAAAUGCAAUAUAUUUCUAAAGGAACAGUGCUUCAAAUGAGAGGUGGAAUUCAUAUUUUGAGCUGUUUGUAAUUAAAAACUGAAAUGAUGAUAAAGGAUUGAACUGCUGGAACGAAUAUACAAUACGCAAAGUGAGAAAUCAUUGAUGAUAAACAUCAACAUUGCAUCACUGUCCUAAAAUUUUACUCAUUUGACUAGACUUCCUUCAUCCCGACACCAUAUCACUCUGUUAUUCAGACUUCUGCGUAUAUUCUACUGGGGGUUCAAGUGGAAAAGUAUGACUACAGAUAGUAAUUAAAAAUGCAUAACUAAAAGUAUGUAUAGUGCUUCACACAUUUAUUCGACCGCCUGUCAUAAAGAAUAAGAAGAGACCAUCUGGCAUCAUGAAGUGCUUUAAUGCUGACUCUUUCAAUUUCAGUGAGCUCUUGAUAUUUUACCAUUUUGAACAGGAAUUACAAAUUCACUUAUGACACCCAAAUUUGAGCAAGCUAAAUGGGCUUCUCUGUGAACUCAGUAAAAUCUAGAGCUCUCAUUUGCAACUACGUAUUGUACAGUAACAAUAGUAGCAACAACUAUCGCUCCAUCCCUUAUUUUUAUUUUGUAUUUUUUUUCCCCACGGAGUCAAUAAAAUGAUGAUAGUGGCUGGAGAUUACUCUCUGGUCAUCUAUGAGGGCACAGAGAGGGAAAUACUGCCCCAGCUGUUGGUGCCUCAUCCUGAGUACAACAGCGCCACCAACAAUGACAUCAUGCUCAUAAAGCCAAGUUGAUCUGAAUAGUUUUGUUUCCAUCGCCUUGCUGCCCUGGCGGGGUGCCUCCGUUGCAGAGGGCAGACUGUGCCGAGUGUCUGCGUGGGGAUACACCAAUCCACGUGGAGGCCAGAUACCCUCCACCCUGCGCACAGUCAGGGUGCCCAUCAUCUCCUCAAAACAAUGCAACAGUCAUCACGCUUUCAAUGGCAACAUCACAGAAAACAUGCUCUGUGCGGGCUACAGUGCCGGCGGGAAGGAUGCCUGUCAGGGGGACUCUGGGGGUCCACUGAUGUGUGAUGACUGUGUUUAUGGUUUGGUGUCCUGGGGAAUGGGCGUGGUGAUGCCGAGUUUCCUGGGGCCUCAUGUACAAAAGGUGGGUACGCACAAAAACGUGGCGUCCGUUCUUUUUCACGGCAAAGUUCAGAUGUAUCAAGAGUGACAUGACCGUGGAAAUGUGCGGUGCCUCACGCCAACUGCAUGGCUGGUGUAUGCACAUUUCUGCAGCUUUUGGUGCCUUGGUGACACUUAGAGGUGAUGCUGGGAAACUGUUCUCAUAAAUCUGCACCCCAGAGACACAUGAAUAAUUAGCAUUGAUAAACAAUUCAUGCCCGGCAACAUUUGAUUUCAACAAUGGAAUUGAGGCAAGGACUGAGAAUUCAUUUGUUAACCAGUGUAUUUAAUGAACCCCUGAUAUUUAUUUGUGAGGACACCUACUAAUUGAUCAAGGCGAUCAUUUAUCGCUUCAUGACUCCAGCACAUGCACUGAAAAAAAGAGUCCUUUGAAUUUUCUUCAUUUGAACAUGUACAUCGGUUGCACAUGUUUAAAAUGUGUUUAAAUUGACAUAAUUUACCCCUCUUCUCCUCAAAAAAACAAGAUUUUUUUGUCAUUGUGCGUGUUCUCUCCUGUGUAUUAAAAUAAUAAAUUGAGUAAUCAAAAAGGACUAAAAAUGUUUUAUAUCCUCUUUGAUAUGCUGAUGUGCUUCUAUUUGAAUUCAAAAUAUUUAUUACAAAUACCAUACAUACAACAUUUACGUAUAAUAAUACUUACUUGAAUAAGAUAACCAUAUUGAACACAAAUAUUCCUUCCAUAAUGCAUUUUUACUGCCAAUUUCCUGUAAUGCAAUCAUGCACAAGGAAGGAAAGAUGAAUGCGGCCAAGUACAUGGAUAUCCUGGACGAAAACCUUCUCUAGAGUGCUCAGGACCUGGGCCGAAGGUUUACCUUCCAACAAGACAAUGACCCUAAGCACACAGCUAAAAUAACGAAGGAGUGGCUUCAGAACAACUCCGUGACUGUUCUUCAAUGGCCCAGCCAGAGCCCUGACUUAAACCCAAUUGAGCAUCUCUGGAAAGACCUGAAAAUGGCUGUCCACCAACGUUCACCAUCCAACCUGACAGAACUGGAGAGGAUCUGCAAGGAGGAAUGGCAGAGGAUCCCCAAAUCCAGGUGUGAAAAACUUCUCGCAUCAUUCCC